rnacentral:rRNA from 1 species
UACGUAGGGGGCAAGCGUUGUCCGGAUUUAUUGGGCGUAAAGAGCGUGUAGGCGGCCAGACAGGUCAGCUGUGAAAACUCGAGGCUCAACCUCGAGACGUCGGUUGAAACCGUCUGGCUAGAGUCCGGAAGAGGAGAGUGGAAUUCCCGGUGUAGCGGUGAAAUGCGCAGAUAUCGGGAAGAACACCCGUGGCGAAGGCGGCUCUCUGGGACGGUACUGACGCUGAGACG